GACGUAGGAGACGAGCGUUAUCCGGAUUUACUGGGCGUAAAGCGCGUGCAGGCGGUUUGGUAAGUUGGGUGUGAAAGCUCCUGGCUCAACUGGGAGAGGUCAUUCAAUACUGCCGGACUAGAGGAUGGUAGAGGGAGGUGGAAUUCCGAGUGUAGUGGUGAAAUGCGUAGAUAUUCGGAGGAACACCAGUGGCGAAAGCGGCCUCCUGGACCAUAUCUGACGCUCAGACGCGAAAGCUAGGGGAGCAAACGGG
rnacentral:rRNA from 1 species